rnacentral:sRNA from 1 species
GCCAGGCAUCGUGGUGCAUGCCUGUAAUCCCAGCGACUUGGGAAACUGAGACAGGAGGAUCGCGAGUUCAAAGGCAGCCUCAGCAAAAGUGAGGCACUAAGCAACUCAGUGAGACCCUGUCUCUA